CUCUGGGGGAGGGUUUCCCUUCCCGAAUGAAGGAACAAAGACCAAGUGAGAAGGCUUUUGCCCUUGACCUUUGGCCUUUUCUUUUCUUCUUGUUUGGGUUACAGAUGUGAUCCCUGGAGGUGAGUGGCUAUCUUGUGAAGCAUUGCAGAUGAUGGGGCAGGAAGACGGAACUAUCCUGGGGUGCCUCUUUCCAUGGUCAUUGUCACAUGAGUAAGGUAAUGCUUUGCUUCUUUCAUCUGCUGUAAUCGGGUUUUUUGAUACGGAACAGAAAACACAAAGAAAAUCACCCAUAAGGCCGGG
rnacentral:lncRNA from 1 species